rnacentral:rRNA from 1 species
CAACGCCGCGUGAGCGAAGAAGGCCUUCGGGUCGUAAAGCUCUGUUGUUAGGGAAGAACAAGUAUCGGAGUAACUGCCGGUACCUUGACGGUACCUAACCAGAAAGCCACGGCUAACUACGUGCCAGCAGCCGCGGUAAUACGUAGGUGGCAAGCGUUGUCCGGAAUUAUUGGGCGUAAAGCGCGCGCAGGCGGUCCUUUAAGUCUGAUGUGAAAGCCCACGGCUCAACCGUGGAGGGUCAUUGGAAACUGGGGGACUUGAGUGCAGAAGAGGAGAGUGGAAUUCCACGUGUAGCGGUGAAAUGCGUAGAGAUGUGGAGGAACACCAGUGGCGAAGGCGACUCUCUGGUCUGUAACUGACGCUGAGGCGCGAAAGCGUGGGGAGCAAACAGGAUUAGAUACCCUGGUAGUCCACGCCGUAAACGAUGAGUGCUAAGUGUUAGAGGGUUUCCGCCCUUUAGUGCUGCAACUAACGCAUUAAGCACUCCGCCUGGGGAGUACGGCCGCAAGGCUG